rnacentral:lncRNA from 1 species
UCCUCCUGUCCGGGCGAGAGAUAGGAUUGUUUUCCCCUGUCCUCACUUCUUCCCAGCCAGCCACGAGCCACCUCCCACAAACCAAUGCUAGCUUUGACUGCCCUGAUCAGAAGAAUCUAGCUAGCGACCAGACCACCACUGCCAUCUCUUCCAAAUCGACCACUGAUCGAUAAAAAUACACGAGCUCCAUCUCCACAAUGGCUUCGGCGAACAACUGGCUGGGCUUCUCGCUCUCCGGCCAAGGGAACCANNNNN